UACGUAGGUGGCAAGCGUUGUCCGGAUUUAUUGGGUUUAAAGAGCUCGUAGGCGGCUUGUCGCGUCGUCCGUGAAAACCUGUGGCUCAACUGCAGGCUUGCGGUCGAUACGGGCAGGCUGGAGUUCGGUAGGGGAGACUGGAAUUCCUGGUGUAGCGGUGAAAUGCGCAGAUAUCAGGAGGAACACCGGUGGCGAGGGCGGGUCUCUGGGCCGAUACUGACGCUGAGGAGCGAAAGCGUGGGGAGCGAACAGG
rnacentral:rRNA from 1 species